UGGGGAAUAUUGCACAAUGGGCGCAAGCCUGAUGCAGCCAUGCCGCGUGUGUGAAGAAGGCCUUCGGGUUGUAAAGCACUUUCAGCGAGGAGGAAGGUGGUGAGCUUAAUACGCUCAUCAAUUGACGUUACUCGCAGAAGAAGCACCGGCUAACUCCGUGCCAGCAGCCGCGGUAAUACGGAGGGUGCAAGCGUUAAUCGGAAUUACUGGGCGUAAAGCGCACGCAGGCGGUUUGUUAAGUCAGAUGUGAAAUCCCCGGGCUCAACCUGGGAACUGCAUUUGAAACUGGCAAGCUAGAGUCUCGUAGAGGGGGGUAGAAUUCCAGGUGUAGCGGUGAAAUGCGUAGAGAUCUGGAGGAAUACCGGUGGCGAAGGCGGCCCCCUGGACGAAGACUGACGCUCAGGUGCGAAAGCGUGGGGCAGCAAACAGGAUUAGAUACCCUGGUAGUCCAGCGCUGUAAAACGAUGUCGAUUUGGAGGUUGUGCCCUUGAGGCGUGGCUUCCGGAGCUAACGCGUUAAAUCGACCGCCUGGGGAGUACGGCCGCAAGGUUAAAACUUAAAUGAAUUGACGGGGUCAUAGCUG
rnacentral:rRNA from 1 species